rnacentral:rRNA from 1 species
GACGGGUACCCGGCCUGAGAGGGUGACCGGACACACUGGAACUGAGACACGGUCCAGACUCCUACGGGAGGCAGCAGUAGGGAAUAUUGCUCAAUGGGGGAAACCCUGAAGCAGCAACGCCGCGUGGAGGAUGAAGGUUUUAGGAUUGUAAACUCCUUUUGUUAGAGAAGAUUAUGACGGUAUCUAACGAAUAAGCACCGGCUAACUCCGUGCCAGCAGCCGCGGUAAUACGGAGGGUGCAAGCGUUACUCGGAAUCACUGGGCGUAAAGAGUGCGCAGGCGGGAUAGCAAGUCAGAUGUGAAAUGCUAUGGCUUAACCAUAGAACUGCAUUUGAAACUGUUAUUCUA